GCGCCGCCGCCGAGGCCUGAGCGGGCCCCGCAGCCCCAGUCCUGGGGCCCCGAGACGCCCCGGAGCCCGCUCCCGAGCGAGCGCGGCGGCCCCAUCUCCGCACGGCCUGCGGCGCGCGGCAGGGAAAAGGAAGCCCGAGCGCUUACCCGUCGGGCCCCACGCAAGGGCACACUCCCGCCAGGCGGCACCCCCCCGCCUGCCCCACAGGGACUCGCGGCCCUCUCCUCAGGUCCUCCCUCCAUCCCGCUCUCUCUCCCUCUCCCUCAGUCACCCGUAUCCCCGCCGUUCCCCUUCCCGCACGCACGCCUGUCUCACACCCGCCUGUUACACGUGCUGGUUCAGAUCCUGUCCAUCUGAUGCCCACUCACGCUCCUCACACACUCGCACAUCCACCUCUCUCGGGACACAGAAGGACCUCGUGGCUCCAUGUCUGCAAGUCUGACUCCCAGAAGCCGGUUGAUUCUCUGAUGUCCUUGGCCUGUGAGACAGAAUUCUGCUGACCAGCUUCCUCUGAUAUCCCAUGGCUGUGCCUCCCAUGGCCCAAAGCCACUUUGUUCAGCCCUGAACAGUGAGUACCCUGCCACCAGGCCCAGCACUUGCUUGGCAGGGCGAUGUGUUGUUUAAAGCUGCCUCUUGUCUUUCUCCGCACCCAGACUGUAGGCCGUGAUGGGCAGAGACUCUGUCCUCUGCUUCUCACUCAGCGCUUCCCGCCAGGAUGGGCUGGAUGCAUUCUAGUGGAACUGGAAAAUGGCUCUGCUCCACAGAGAGAAUUGAGAAAUGCCACUUACCUUGUAAUGAAGCUGUUUUCCCAAGAAAGGGACUGCAGGUGGGGAAGAGUGGCUGGACCACCAGGGGCCAGCUCUGGAUUCCCGAGUCCUCUGUCAUUUGGAGCUAUCUGCUCAUUGCGGCUAUGCCAUGCUGCCGAGCCUUGGGCAAGGACACAGGACACCUCCCUGGUUCCCUGACCAUGGUGAGGACCUGCCUGAAAGAUUCAAACUAAACUUGACUAGGAAUAGAGAGGCCUCUGCAUCUGCGCCGGCUGGGUUGCAAGGUGAGGCCUGCUGUCUGGAGCCCCAAGCAGUACCAUGAGGGGACCUUCAUCUUGGUCCUCGUUCCCAGCUCAAGUUUCUCUUUAGACAAAUGGGCACUGUGUGAAGAGCCUCCGUGCAGGAGAGCAGUUUUAGAUGCCUAGCUUCGAUGAAGUCUAGAGGAAGGGAGGAAGAAGGGCUGAGUUUUGUGUUUUGUAUUACUAGUCUUCUGAAGGAGAUUUUCCUCAGGCCAAAAUGAUGUGUGUGUGUGUCUGUGUGUCUGUGCGUGUCUGUGUGUAUGCUGUAUAACUUACAUGUGGUACACAAUAUGCAUCUCAAGUGUACAGCUUGAUGUAUUUUUACAUAUAAUGCACCAUGUAACCACCACCCUGAUCAAGAUAUGGAACAUUAACAUUUCUGUCACCCCAGAAGGUCCCCUCAUAGCUUUUCCUCAUCAAUACCUACUCCCAAAGGUAACCCAUGUUCUGAUUUCUGUCACCACAGAUUAGCUUUGCUGGCUUUGAGCUUCAUAUAAAUGGGGCAUAUAGCAUAGAUUCUUUUGUGUCUGGUUUCUUCUGCAUAACAUGUUUUUGAUAUUCAUCUUGUUGCACGUGUCAGACGUUCAUCUCUUUGGCUAUGUAGUAUUCCACACUUAGCUUAUCUGAUCACCUAUUGAUGGGCAUUUGUGUUGUUUCCAGUUUUGGGAUAUUGUGAAUAAGUCUGUAUCGACAUUUUUGUACAUGUCUUUUUGUGAAGGGCAUUUCGUUACCCUUGGGUCAGUACCUAGGAGAGCAGGCGUAUGUUUAGUUUUAUUAUUUAUUAGUUUUAUUGCAAACAGUUUUCCAAAGUGAAAGAACAAACUACCGUGCUAUACAGACAGACAGACAUGCAG
ensembl:lncRNA